CUACAGGUGCACACCACCAUGCCAGGCUAAUUUUUGUAUUUUUUGUAGAGACAGAGUUUUGCGGUGUUUCCCAGGCUGGUCUUGAACUCCUGGGCUCAAACAAUCUGCCUGCCUCAACCUCCCAAAGUGUUAGGAUUACAGGCAUGAGACACUGCGCCUGGCCUCUAAGUAACUUCAUGUGUUACCUCAUCUAUCACUCAUAGCAACUCCCCUGUGAGGUGACACCUAAACUGCAUCCCCACAGCAAGUCCCCAGAUUCCACAGAAGAAGCUUUAAGCGUAGGGUCUUCAGAAGAAUCAUGUUGUCUACAAUCUCUGAAAUAUUGCCGUUUGUGUCUCAUUUCUGUGCAUACACAGUAGCCUCUUUCACUGCUGCACAUGCCCAACAGCUUCUGAAAACAUUCUUUAGGAUCACACACUCAGACGGACCAUGCAGAAAACCUCUAAGAUGUGGGCACAGAUGCAAGAAGUAAGAGCAGGCCUCCUGGAGUUUAGCCGGGAGCUAUAGCUUCAUACAAAAUGAUCUUAGUUAGCCAGCAUGGAAAAACAGAUUUUUGCAUUUCACCCACAGCCUGUGCUCCCCUCCCCAGCUCGUCUUCCAGGGUCAAGUCAGGUCCCUGUAGCUUGCAAAUAUCCAGCUAGCAGGUUCUAGCCGUAGUGCUGCCUUCUGCCUUAUUCCCUGCACCCCCCCCCCACCACCCCCAAGGGUAUAAUUGAGUGAAUCUCCCUUUUUGUUAUUGCAAGACAGGUAAGUCUCUUCGCUUCUCCAAUAAGAUAAAUAUCCAUGGGCAAAUAAUCUGGUUGAACAGGAAAUAAUGCCAUUUCCCCAAUUAUUUCAUGGCCAAGUUCUGUAUUUUAAAAUAAAUAUUUAUGGUUGUCAGUGUGCUAAUGAAUGGGCAACUAUGAAUCAGAGCACCAGAAAGAUAAUGGAAGUUAAUCUGACACCCUGAGAGUCAAGAGAGUCGUGGGCAACAUCAUCUUCCAGGGUCUGGGUCUUCUCUUGCCACGGCUCCCAACUCUGUAUCAUAAGACAGAACUUUAAACAUUUCCUUGGCUGUCUCCCAGAUGCAUUAAUAAGGCGUUUCUGUUCUGAGAAAAGCUUCAGAAAACAGAUUGAAGUCUAAGCCACCCAGGGGGAUAGGGGAAAGAGAAGUGGGGGAGAUCCAGGGCAAACACACAGCCAGGGGUCUGAGCCCUUUCC
rnacentral:lncRNA from 10 species